UACGUAGGGUGCGAGCGUUGUCCGGAUUUAUUGGGCGUAAAGAGCUCGUAGGCGGUUUGUCGCGUCGGCCGUGAAAUCUCCACGCUUAACGUGGAGCGUGCGGUCGAUACGGGCAGACUUGAGUUCGGUAGGGGAGACUGGAAUUCCUGGUGUAGCGGUGGAAAUGACGCAGAUAUCAGGAGGAACACCGGUGGCGAAGGCGGGUCUCUGGGCCGAUACUGACGCUGAGGAGCGAAAGCGUGGGGAGCGAACAGG
rnacentral:rRNA from 1 species